GCGCGCCCCUGGCGGCGGUAGGCCGCGGUACAGCGCAACUGGGCCUCCGACUGCAACGCCCCCUUGCGGCGGGAGUCCGCGGUGCAGCGCCACUGGUCCCCUGACUGUAGCGUCCCGCCGUGGCGCACAGCCUUUGUUUCUGUCUGCAGCGACCCUUAUCAAUUGAAUCGUCUUUGGUCGUCGGACUGUAGCUCCCCCUGGUGGGGGGAGGACGCGUUGCAAGAAUGGAGUUAAAGGGAAAGCGAGUACAGGAAAAGUUAAUAAAUUCACCAGAAUUAACGGGGCAGAAAGUUGAGGAACGGGUAGGAGAGUAUGGCCAAGUGAAAUAGGAAUGGAUGUGAAAGGUGAGAGGAGUAAUGAAUGCACGAAUUAUAAGAAAUAAAGUGGAUGAGCUUGAGGCUCAGUUAGAAAUUGGCAAGUAUGAUGUUGUGGGAAUUACAGAGACAUGUCUGCAAGAGGGCCAGGGCUGGGAACUGAAUAUUCAGGGUUAUACGUCCCAGCAAAAGGGCAGACCCUUGCAAGGGGUGACAUUGAAACAGGAGAUGUGGAGUCAGUAUGGAAAGAACUAAGGAAUUGUAAGGGUAAAAAGACCCUAAUGGAACUAAUCUACAGGGUAGAUUAGCCUGAAACAGUAGCCUGGAUAUAGGGAGGUUUCACGGCAGUCGGGUCACGACCCAUGACCCGUACUGUUGCUACGCUACUCCAAAUGGAUUACACGCGAUGAACUGCAGGAUUUAGGAGCCGUUGCUGUGGAUGGAGAGAUGGGGACGUGAGCGGCCAUUGAGGGCAGCCAGGGUGCGUGCUGAGCUUCGAGGGGCUGAGCUUCGAUGGAGGACCACAUAACAGGGCACAACAAAGAGAAGCGUUAUGAGUGCGACAUGUGUGGCAAGGCAUGGCAGCACCCGAGCCGGCUGGAGACCCACCGGCGGGUGCACACGGGAGAACGCCCCUUCGACUGCUCCGAGUGCAGCAAGCGCUUCAAGACGGCGAAGGACCUGAAGUCCCACCGGCGUUUGCACACGGGUGAGAAGCCCUAUGGUUGCUCCACCUGCGGCAAGAGCUUUGCCCAGUCGGCGGGGCUGAGGGAUCACCGGCGGGUGCACAGCUGUGAGCGGCCCUUCACCUGCUCUGUCUGCGGCAAAAGCUUCAAGUGGCCCACGGACCUGAAGGUGCACAGGCGCCUGCACACCGGGGAGCGCCCCUACACCUGCAGUGACUGUGGCAAGGGCUUCACCCGCUCCAGCCACCUGCUGAGGCACCAGCACACCCACACCGACGAGCGCCCCUUCAUCUGCGGCCAGUGCGGCAACGGCUUCACCCGCUCCAGCCACCUGUUGAGGCACCAGCAUACCCACACCGGGGAGCGCCCCUUCAUCUGCGCCCAGUGCGGCAAGGGCUUCAUCAGCUCCUCCAGACUGCUGUCCCACCAGCAGCUGCAUGUCGGCAACCGUCCCGUCCGGUGUGUGGAGAACGCUUUUCCAUGGCCUCCCACGCCCUGUCUCACCAGCGUGUGCACACCAGUGGCCACCCCGACACUGCCCGUACUGCGGAUUCUCAAGGACACCUUACAAUUAAUUCAAGCAUGAAACAAAAACAACAUAUACAGCAACAAUACACAAUUCGGAAAGAGAGCAACGGCAGCCAAUCCCGCCAGCGUUCACUCUCGCCUCCAGCAGCCAUGUUUUCCGAGCCAUCUGCAGCAAACCAAUAAAAAUAAAACAACAUUAAAGAAUUUAACAUAAAAACCCCCAACAUGUUCCCACUGUGAGGAACGGCAACAAAGCCCAGUCCUCUUCCUCUUGUUCACCCAUGGUUGGGCCUAUUAGGCCUCCGCAGUCGCUGCAGCGGCGGCACAAUGUUACAGGCCCUCUCGCCGGAUGAUGGAGCUCCGGUGUCGGGAGUGUCACACGGCGACCUGGGUAAGGCAUCGCCUGCUCCGUGAUGUUGCUUCAGCGCUGUGCCGCUGCCAAAGCCGAAGAUCUGGCUGGUCCCGGCAGGAAAGGAUGCUCCAGGCCCAUUGGUAGGCCGCGAGAAAGGGUCGAAGACGCGGCUCGGAGGAAAGCCGCAACUUCGACCAGAUCCACGGAUGACGCGGUCUCCCAGGUUCUGCACACCACUCUCUCAACUUGACAGCCAGAAGGUGGGCAAUGUGAGGAUUCUGUUCAUUGAUUUCAGUUCAGCUUUCAACACCAUAGUCCCCACAGACUUACUGAGAAGCUGCUGGGACUGAACACUCCCCUGUGUGCCUGGGCCCUGGACUUUCUUACCUGCAGGCCCCAGGUGGUCAAGAUGGGGAGACAUACCUCCAAACCUCUCACCCUGAACACAGGGUUGUGUCCUCAGUACUCCCAUGACUGUGUGGCCAGGUUCAGCUCCAACCCCAUCAUCAAGUUUGCUGAUGACACUGGUGGUGGGCCUGAUCUCUGAUAACGAUGAGAGGGCCUACCUGGAGGAGGUGGCUGAUCUGCCACUCUGGCGUCACUCUAGUGAAUGUCACCAAAACUAAGGAGUUGAUUGUCGACUACUGUGGAUAGGGUGAGCAGCUUUAAAUACCUGGGAGUCCACAUCACAGAAGAUCUGACAUGGACAACACACGCUGCCACAUUGGUGAGAAAGGCAAGGCAGUGCCUUUACCACCUCGGGCAGCUGAGGAAAUUUAGAGUCUCUGAGAAUCCUUCAGUGCUUCUACUAAAGGGCUGUAGAAAGCAUCCUGUCUGCUAACAACUCGAUCUGGUUUGGGAACAGCUCUGCCCAGGACAGGAAGGCUCUGCAGAGAGUAGUGAGUUCGGCCGAGCGCACCAUGGGAACUACAUUCCUCCCUCCCCUUUGCAGGACCUAUACACCAGGAGGUGCAGAUCCAGAGCCAGCAACUUAAGAAGGACUCCUACCACCCCAGCAAUGGACAGUUCCAGUUGCUACGGUCAGGCACACUGUCACACUGUGAAAACAGAGAGGAUGAGAUGGAGUUUCUUCCCACAGGCCAUCAGAACUGUAAACUCUAAUCUCACCAGGGACUAAUUUGUUGUGUUGUGCCUUUUAAAAAAAAAAUGUAAAUACUGGUUCUGUUCCAUUCUUUUGUUUUGCACAAUCCCGCAAGCGUUGCCACAUUCAUUUCCCUGUACAUCUUGUUUGUGUGACAAAUAAAGUUGACGACGUUU